ensembl:lncRNA
UACUUGAGUCAAACAUUUGUUACUCAAAUCUAAUCUAGUAAUCUCAUGUUUACAGAUGCUGAUAGUUAUCCAGAUGACAUGAUCGACAUCCAGAUGACUUGAUCGACUCCAAGAAUGGUGCUCAUCGUGUACCAUCCAUCCCCGGAUCGUUGAUGGAUCGGAAGUGGCAGAUGCCUCCCUGAAGUGCAGUCUCCCAAUAAACUAGAAAGCCUCGGGAUGUGCUUCGCAUUGCUUAUCGCAAGGCGAUGGGACUACUUGACUGGAGAGAUGCAGUUUACUCCUGAGCAUGAGGCGGUAGCGGUCAACUUGGUGGCUUGGUCUACUGCCGGUUCCAGAAAGCCUCCAUGGAGAAGAUGACUUGUAUCCUGCCCUUGAAAGCACCUCUAGCAAUAGUAAAAGGAGAAGAUGACUUGUAUCCUGCCCUUGAAAGCACCUCUAGAAAUAGUAAAAGGAUUUUGAGGAAGCGAAGGCCAUGUCAAAGGUGGAUGCCAAAUCGGAUUCAUUGGUUGAUUCUACUGGUGACUCAAGUCAACGCAGUGUUUCCCCGUAGACCAAUGUUUGGCGCAGCAGUGAAGUGCGGUUAUAGUUUAUACAUUACGAUGUUGGCCCCCCCAGGCCGUGAAUAGUGGAUCCAUUUGUCAAAAAGUUGAAAAAUGUUAAACUUUUUCGGCACCGACGGAUCCGUCAUCCAAUCAGAUCGCGUGUGCAAUGUCUCGGGCUCUUACGACCCCGGAAAGCUCCCCCAUCGCUCGACGUCCUUUGACUGACGGCGCAGUGGGCGUGAGGCGUUACCCCGCCACACAUUGUUACCUGGUCUGUGGGAAACGCUACAAAGAUUCAACAUGAAGUUGUGUUUAAUGUCAAUCCAUGGAUGGUACACUUCAUUGUUGGUGUUAGCAGCUGUUGUAUAUUUUAUGUGACUGUCAAUAAAAAAACUUUGAAGUGUCUUCUGCUUUUGCUUAUUAUCGUGUAUGGAAUGAUUGUAGCUGCUCAAAGGAUCAUUUUAGUUUACUUAAGGGCUGGGCUUUGCAACCAUUGCCUCGUAGUGCUAUAUGACGGCCUUUUUUUUAUAUCAGUUUUCAUGAUUAGAAGUCUGCCCUGUCGAUUCGACGGCAGCUCCAAGUGCGCGCCGGUUGUCUCACCGCAACGACAUGGCAUAAAUAAAAGGGA